AAAGAACAAUAAGCAAAUGAAGUAAAAUGUUGGCAGUAGCAUCAUCCAAGACUACUGCUGUGGCUAUGGCAGCGAGAAUUUACUUUAGUAUGUCUGUAGCUGUUGGCUGCUUUGAUUGCGGACAGCAUGUACGAGCUCUGAUCUAAGCCUCCCAUUAUGGAGAAUCUUCAGAGGAGCACACGUCUUUGCUGGCUGGCAUAUCAACAUUCAUGAUCCUGGCAUGUGGAAGAAUACUCUGAUUAUUGCCCAAGACAUUAGCAUUAAAAAUUCCUUCUAAGGCAUUUCUUUAUUCUUAAGUAAAUCCUGUUAAGGAAAAAUAGGAAUGUAUAAGCGAUUAAUAAAUUAAGGAGAAAUUACUACAAACUGAUCAGAAUGCUCUUUGGAGAAGAAUACACCCUCAGCAGAAGGAGGUUCCAAGAUGGCCGAAUAAGAACAGCUCCAGUCUGCAGCUCCCAGCGUGAGCAACGCAGAAGAUGGGUGAUUUCUGCAUUUCCAGCUGAAGUACCGG
rnacentral:lncRNA from 1 species